rnacentral:tRNA from 1 species
GUGUGUGGUUCAGCGGUAGAGCACUCGCCUAGCAUGUGUGAGGCUCUGGGUUCGAUCCUCAGCACCACA